CAUCUGAGUGAGGGGCGGAGGCACCUAAGCACAGACUGGACCCAUGGAAAGGGAAGGUUUGAGUCUUACUAUUUUUUUUGUUUGGUUUUGUUUUCCUCUUGGACGGCACCUGGACCCCCUAUCCCAAUGUGGCUCUGUCUUUGUUGAAGAUAAGUUUGAGGGGUUUUCAGGAAAGCCUUGUAAAUGCUGGAGAUGUGCAAGAUGGUAACUUCUUUAAGUCUGAAAUAUUCCUAGGACCAUGGGCUUUUGAAAACCUUUUAACACGUCCCAUGUGAGUACCCCACUACCAAAACUGUUCCAGGACCGCGGAUUUACUACAUACUCCAUGCGUUUGCUCCCAUAAGCACACAGAGCAUUCAUUAGGCUUUGAUACAAUGUUGUUUGUGAGGGCAGAGACAACCUAACUGUCCACGGAUGGGGACCAAGCCUGUCAACAAAGAUGCAUUCACGCUGGCUGGAAUAUGUUGCAGCUGUUGAGAAGAAGGACGAAGAACUUGAAGCUGCAUAAGGACAUGAAAAGCUAUACAGACCCAAAUACAACCCUGAGAAGCAAAUCACAGAGCCGAAUGUAUUCAUGCUACUGUUUGUGUGUGCUUUUUUAAAAAAAGUUAUUAAAAAUAGAUGCUUCUAUGGCAUUAGAACAUUCUGAAAUAUUUUUUACAAAUAGAUAACAGGUCCCUAGGAGAUGGGGUGGGGAAGGAGGUAGGCAGUUCCUGCUUUAGUGACUUGCUGAACUAGCUAGAUUUUUUUUUAACCCCGAGUAGGUUGCCGUCAGAAUAACUGAGAAACUAGCUAAUAAAAGAUUAUAUUUACUCUGGAUUAACAGAAACAAGAGGGGUGCUCUGUUAGCAGACAGUGGGGUCCAGAACCCCCUUUGUAGGAGGAAAACGAGGGGGGGGAAACCUUUGUAGAAGAAGGUGUUAACCCAUUCUCUGUAGAGGAAAAUGUCAAAACCGGCGCUGUACACUCAGCACCACGCGUCUUGGUGACGUCUCCUCUGUAGCUAUGGCCUUACAUAAGGACCUCACCCCACCCCCAAGAGACCCGCAGGGCGCCGGGGAGCCAGCAGGAGCUGCCAGACUCAAUGGGCUGCGCACUCCCGGAUGGCCGAUGGCUGCAGAAAAAAAAGAAUGCCUUCUGCGUCACAGGGUGGCACCUCAGCCCUUCCCUCUGUUCUGCCAGGGUGAGCCCCAAACAGCGUGGACCCUCUCAGAAAGAAUGGAGAUCGAUCUUAGAGGAGAUGCCCCCUUCCGCGACACACACACACACACACACACACACACACACACACACACACACACUUCUCCCUGCUUCUUCCCUCUUCCUUAUCUAGUUCCUCGAAAUAGCCAAAACCGGCCCAAUCCUCGGCUCCUGUGUUUGUAAAAUCAAGGUCAAAUUGCUCCCAGGUUCCAGCUGAGUUUUGUAGUUGCUUUAAACAGACCAAGUUUUCUGUCCUCACGCCUCAUUAACCUACUAAUUAAAUGCCAAGUCUUUUCGAAGAUCUGUAGCUUUUUUUUUUUAAAAGUCCUUCCAAAUCUAAAAUAUUUAACUCCUAUUUACUCCCGGGCUCCCUAGCUCCCUAGUGAAGCAUAUCUCGAGAAGCUGCUUUUUUGUUUUCAAUAGUCAUUUUGUUUCUAGAGGCUUCAAUGCACUGCCAACAAGUAAAGACUUGUUAUCCACCCGCCGGCUUUAGAGAGAAGCCAGGGAGUUUAAAGAAAAAGUAACUCCUGUAUCACUAGGUUCUCUCUGUCUGUCUCUGUCCCUGUCUGUCUCUCUGACUCUCUCUCUCUCCCUCUUUCCUUUCCUUUUCUCUCCUUUUCUCUUCUCUCUCUCUCUCUCUCUCUCUCUCUCUCUCUCUCUCUCCCUCUCCCUCUCCCCCUCCCUCUCCCUCUCCCUCUCCCUUUCACUUCCCAAAUACUUAUGACAUAAAUGAAGGAAAAGACUGUGAUUUGCAUGCCUGGGCCGGGAUGCUAACUUUCCCCAGUCUGUUUCUCCCAACCUAGCUCUCCUUGCUUAAAAAAAAAAAGGGGGGGGGGGGGGGGCAAGAACAACAGCUAAUAGCAAUCAAACCUUCAAGACUAACCUGAGUCCUCUCUGCCAGACUGAGAAAUGUUAUUAGAAAAUAGAGGAAAAGGUACCCUGUUUUCCCUAAGUUGUGGGACUAAUCUGGUGUCAGUAGCUAAAGCAGUUACUCGCCUUACUGGAGAAAGUCCAAAUACUCAAGUUAUUUUUGAAGAAAGGCCGUCUAAACAAUCCAAGCCGUUGUCUGCCUCUCAGCUUUGGC